rnacentral:misc_RNA from 1 species
UAGAAGCAGAGACACUUGGGAGCAGGAAUAUAAGCUCAGGCAGAAGAAUGGUACCAAGGAACCAGUGAAUACUUGAUCCCUCGCACAAUCAACAAACCAAACAAUGCAAUCACUAGUUAAUCUUCUUCUGGAGUUGAUUGAAUUCAAGGGGAAUCAUUACACCGACAGAAACAACAUCUCACGGGCAUAUCAUCAAAUGGAAUGAUUCCCGAGCUCCCAUAGAAAGACAAA